UACGCCAGGGGUGCUGGAAUUGGCCGGCUGAGAUUGUAUCCCACGAAGAUACUGACCCUUUAAACCUGAUCUGGGUAAUGCCAGCGUAGGGAAACCUAU
rnacentral:ncRNA from 1 species